UUGGAGGUUAAAGAAGGUGAAACUAUUUAAGUGUGUAGUUGUCACUGAUACCCACCUCCUAUAGGAAACAGUAGCGUGAACCACCUGACCUCCAGACAUAGGUCUACGGUGCUCUGCACCUACUCACAACU
ensembl:scaRNA